rnacentral:rRNA from 1 species
AAAAGAUCUAAUUUGAAAUCUGGCACCUUCGGUGUCCGAGUUGUAAUUUGAAGAAGGUAACUUUGGAGUUGGCUCUUGUCUAUGUUCCUUGGAACAGGACGUCACAGAGGGUGAGAAUCCCGUGCGAUGAGAUGCCCAAUUCUAUGUAAAGUGCUUUCGAAGAGUCGAGUUGUUUGGGAAUGCAGCUCUAAGUGGGUGGUAAAUUCCAUCUAAAGCUAAAUAUUGGCGAGAGACCGAUAGCGAACAAGUACAGUGAUGGAAAGAUGAAAAGAACUUUGAAAAGAGAGUGAAAAAGUACGUGAAAUUGUUGAAAGGGAAGGGCUUGAGAUCAGACUUGGUAUUUUGCAAGCCUUACCUUCGUGGUGGGGUCCCCUGCAGUUUACUGGGCCAGCAUCGGUUUGGAUGGUAGGAUAAUGACUUGGGAAUGUGACUUUGCUUCGGUAAAGUGUUAUAGCCCUUGUUGAUACUGCCUGUCUAGACCGAGGACUGCGUCUUUGACUAGGAUGCUGGCAUAAUGAUCUUAAGUCGC